rnacentral:rRNA from 1 species
UACAGAGGUGGCAAGCGUUGUUCGGAAUUACUGGGCGUAAAGGGCGCGUAGGCGGUUUCGUAAGUCCCGUGUGAAAGCCCCGGGCUCAACCUGGGAACCGCGCUUGAGACUGGAGAACUAGAGUUCGGGAGAGGAUGGUGGAAUUCCCAGUGUAGAGGUGAAAUUCGUAGAUAUUGGGAAGAACACCGAUGGCGAAGGCAGCCAUCUGGACCGACACUGACGCUGAGGCGCGAAAGCGUGGGGAGCAAACAGG